GAUGAACGCUAGCGGCAGGCUUAACACAUGCAAGUCGAGGGGCAGCACGAUGUAGCAAUACAUUGGUGGCGACCGGCGCACGGGUGCGUAACACGUAUGGAAUCUGCCUUGUACUGGGAGAUAGCCCUCCGAAAGGAGGAUUAAUAUCCCAUAAUAGCUCGAGUGGCAUCACUUGGGUUUGAAAGCUCCGGCGGUACAAGAUGACCAUGCGCACGAUUAGCUAGUUGGUGAGGUAACGGCUCACCAAGGCUACGAUCGUUAGGGGGCCUGAGAGGGUUAUCCCCCACACUGGUACUGAGACACGGACCAGACUCCUACGGGAGGCAGCAGUGAGGAAUAUUGCGCAAUGGAGGCAACUCUGACGCAGCCAUGCCGCGUGCAGGAAGAAGGCGCUACGCGUUGUAAACUGCUUUUAACCGGGAAGAAACCCCAGGACGUGUCCUGGGUUGACGGUACUGGAGGAAUAAGCACCGGCUAACUUCGUGCCAGCCGCCGCGGUAAUAC
rnacentral:rRNA from 1 species